CCUACGGGGUGCAGCAGUGGGGGAUAUUGCACAAUGGGGGAAACCCUGAUGCAGCGACGCCGCGUGGGUGAAGAAGCGCCUCGGCGCGUAAAGCCCUGUCAGCAGGGAAGAAAAUUACGGUACCUGAAGAAGAAGCCCCGGCUAACUACGUGCCAGCAGCCGCGGUAAUACGUAGGGGGCAAGCGUUAUCCGGAUUUACUGGGUGUAAAGGGGGCGCAGACGGCGAUGCAAGCCAGGAGUGAAAGCCCGGGGCCCAACCCCGGGACUGCCCUUGGAACUGCGUGGCUAGAGUGCAGGAGGGGCAGGCGGAAUUCCUGGUGUAGCGGUGAAAUGCGUAGAUAUCAGGAGGAACACCGGUGGCGAAGGCGGCCUGCUGGACUGCAACUGACGUUGAGGCCCGAAGGCGUGGGGAGCAAACAGGAUUAGAUACCCGGGUAGUC
rnacentral:rRNA from 1 species